rnacentral:sRNA from 18 species
GCGGCUGCAAAAUCAGGCGUCGGGAUUGGCAUCCUGUAAUACUUCACUGACAACACAAUAUUUUGUGUUGCGU